GAUGAACGCUGGCGGCGUGCCUAAUACAUGCAAGUCGAGCGAACAGACGAGGAGCUUGCUCCUCUGACGUUAGCGGCGGACGGGUGAGUAACACGUGGAUAACCUACCUAUAAGACUGGGAUAACUUCGGGAAACCGGAGCUAAUACCGGAUAAUAUAUUGAACCGCAUGGUUCAAUAGUGAAAGACGGUUUUGCUGUCACUUAUAGAUGGAUCCGCGCCGCAUUAGCUAGUUGGUAAGGUAACGGCUUACCAAGGCAACGAUGCAUAGCCGACCUGAGAGGGUGAUCGGCCACACUGGAACUGAGACACGGUCCAGACUCCUACGGGAGGAAGCAGUAGGGAAUCUUCCGCAAUGGGCGAAAGCCUGACGGAGCAACGCCGCGUGAGUGAUGAAGGUCUUCGGAUCGUAAAACUCUGUUAUUAGGGAAGAACAAAUGUGUAAGUAACUGUGCACGUCUUGACGGUACCUAAUCAGAAAGCCACGGCUAACUACGUG
rnacentral:rRNA from 1 species